CAGUCGCCGCGGUAAUACGGAGGGGGCUAGCGUUGUUCGGAAUUACUGGGCGUAAAGCGCACGUAGGCGGCUUUGUAAGUUAGAGGUGAAAGCCCGGAGCUCAACUCCGGAAUUGCCUUUAAGACUGCAGAGCUAGCAGGUGAGAGAGGUGAGUGGAAUUCCGAGUGUAGAGGUGAAAUUCGUAGAUAUUCGGAAGAACACCAGUGGCGAAGGCGGCUCACUGGCUCAUACUGGACGCUGAGGUGCGAAAGCGUGGGGAGCAAACAGGAUUAGAUACCCCCGUAGUCCCUGUCUCUUAUAA
rnacentral:rRNA from 1 species